rnacentral:piRNA from 1 species
GUGGCUGCUAAUAAAGAUCUCAU